UAGGGAAUUUUUCACAAUGAGCGAAAGCUUGAUGGAGCAAUGCCGCGUGAACGAUGAAGGUCUUUAAGAUUGUAAAGUUCUUUUAUUUGGGAAGAAUGACUUUAGCAGGUAAUGGCUAGAGUUUGACUGUACCAUUUUGAAUAAGUGACGACUAACUAUGUGCCAGCAGUCGCGGUAAUACAUAGGUCGCAAGCGUUAUCCGGAUUUAUUGGGCGUAAAGCAAGCGCAGGCGGAUUGAAAAGUCUGGUGUUAAAGGCAGCUGCUUAACAGUUGUAUGCAUUGGAAACUAUUAAUCUAGAGUGUGGUAGGGAGUUUUGGAAUUUCAUGUGGAGCGGUGAAAUGCGUAGAUAUAUGAAGGAACACCAGUGGCGAAGGCGAAAACUUAGGCCAUUACUGACGCUUAGGCUUGAAAGUGUGGGGAGCAGAUAGGAUUAGAUACCCUAGUAGUCCACACCGUAAACGAUAGAUACUAGCUGUCGGGGCGAUCCCCUCGGUAGUGAAGUUAACACAUUAAGUAUCUCGCCUGGGUAGUACAUUCGCAAGAAUG
rnacentral:rRNA from 1 species